AACGUGUUAGUUUAAUGGUAAAAUAGCGUGCUACGGACAUGUAUAUAUGGGUUCGAAUCCUAUACACGUUU
rnacentral:tRNA from 1 species